GACGAACGCUGGCGGCGUGCCUAAUACAUGCAAGUCGAACGCAGUGGGGACGGGUGAGUAACACGUGUGUCACCUCCCAUCGGAGGCGAUAACACUUGGAGACAGGUGCUAAACCGAUACGUGUGGUUGGACCCGCGGUGCAUUAGCUAGUUGGUGAGGUAACGGCUCACCAAGGCCACGAUCCAUAGCCGGACUGAGAGGGUGAUCGGCCACACUGGGACUGAGACACGGCCCAGACUCCUACGGGAGGCAGCAGUGGGGAAUCUUGGACAAUGGACGAAAGCCUGACCGAGCAACGCCGCGUGAGUGAAGAAGGUUUGCGGAUUGUAAAGCUCUUUUGUCAGAGAAGCGGUAUCUAAAGAGAAAGCCACGGCUAACUCCGUGCCAGCAGCCGCGGUAAUAC
rnacentral:rRNA from 1 species